GGCGGACCCUGCCAAGUGAUGCGCAUUUAGUCGAGCUCACGGGGGACAUUUCAUUUUACGCGUUUAACAUGCAAUAAAUAUACACGUCACGCUGCGGAUUUUUCUUCACAGUCUCAUGUCCUCUUCGCCCCCCCCCCCAAAAAAAACACGUCCAGUUUCUACAACAGAGUCCGUAGAUAAUAAUAUAGUGCUUAAAUACCAUUAUUAUUGCACGGCCGGGGGGAUGGCUGUGGGGGUAGUGGCCCAGCCUGCCAACGCGCUACCUCCCCCGCCUCGGCAAUGUAGGCCAGGACGGGGGCUCCGCACCGGCCUAGGCCUGACCAAGCCUAUGCACCUGGACAGACACGAGGGCCUGCUGCAGGCUGGCACAAUGUGCCCGCCACAUCUCUUCUUCCUCUGCUGCGCCACCCCGCGCAGCCUCGAGCUCUGCCACUCGCGCCACGAUCCGACCAAGCUGCUGCUCCACCUGACAGACACACGACACAGUGCCUCUGUGUCAAUCCACUGCUGGAAGGCCUCACAUGUCAUGUUGGUAAUGGAAACGGUUUGACCGUGCUUCACCACACUGGUUUGGCUUGAAGGGGAUGAGGCCCAAGAUCGGUUCAGAUUUCACUCAUCACCGAUGUCAGUUGUGACUGGGAAUCGAAGUCAAGUUGCCAAGUUCGUAGCGCAGUCGCUCUCCGCUGCACUAUGACUCCCGUUUAUACUAUAUGUGUAUCCUCAAAUAUUCAAAUAGACUAUUAAGGUUGCUCGAAACAUACUGAACUGUCAUUUAGAUUCAUAAAGUAUGAUUUUGUGAAA